GACUAUUCGCAAGUUUUGCUUCUCCCCCAGUGACUGCAACGACAAAGGCCCUUCCACAUUUAAUGUGGGCAAGUCAGGAAUUGUAUCAAGCACACUUUUCUGCUGCAGCAAUAAUGACUGCAAUGAUUACAUUCCUGGUGUCCCACCCAUAAGCACUGAAUUCAAUGGAAUAAAGUGCCCAGCCUGCUAUUGUCCGAAGAACUAUACAUGCAACGAAGAAGAGAUUGUCAAAUGUACUGGAGACCAGCACUAUUGCCUUGACAUCCAUGGGACUGCAAGGACAGGACCAUCAGUGGCCAUCAAGGGCUGUGUAAACAAGGUUGUCUGUGAUGAUUUUGAAAAAG